CAGCAGCAGCCGUGGUUAGGGGGUGGGUGGGGUGGGGGCUUCACCCAAGGAAAGCCCUUCGGGAGAACUGUGCGGCGCCUGCUGCGCUUGCAUGGAGAGCGUGGGGAGGCAGGCUGCGCGCGCAGCUCGGGGGUCCAGGCAGGGUUGCUUUCUGGCUCACGGGCUGGACCCGCUCCUCCGCCUGCCACCUGCAAAAGCACCUGCGCAUGCUCAGCAGCGAGAGUGCGUGAGCGAGACUCCUGUAGCCUCGACUAGGCAAAACCUCGACAGACAUCCAUGCUGCACGUGGGGACCCUCCUCCUCCUCCUGGGGACGGACCCUGUUCCCUCCCAAGCUGCACGGAAUGGAGGCGGGGAACACACCGGGGGGCCCUUUGCUGUUCUCCCAGGCUCGGGGCGCCCUUCAGCUGUGCAAAGUCUCUUAGCCCCGAGAUCGGGGACUGUCUUUGGCCAGAGGGGUGUGUGUGUGUGGGGGGGGUGUGGAGUGAAGAUUUGGGGAGGCUGGAGAAGGAGCCCGCCUGCCAUAAAGAGGCAGCUGUGGAAAGCGAUUCCCAACCUUGGGUUCCCCGGUGUUCUUGGACUUCAACUCCCAGAAUCCCCAGCCCCAAUGGCCUAUGGUUGGGGAUUGUGGGAGUUGAAGUCCAAUAACGUCUGAGGACCCAGCGUUGGGAAUCCCUGCUCCAGACAGCCAAUGCCUCCUUGUCUGGGCGCUGCCCCGCACCCCCCCUCCUCGUCACGUGGCCCAAAGGAGGAGGAGGCUCCCCUCCUCUCCUGGCAAAAAAUCCCCGGCUAGCUUAUCACAGAACCAUCCUUUAACUGGUGAUUCUCUUCAUUGAGCAGGAGGAGAGCAACUGGCCCUCUCCACCCCCUCACAGCAUCCCUCCAGUGGUUGCCGCUGGUGUCUAUCUUGUGUUUCUUUUUUAGAUUGUGAGCCCUUUGGGGACAGGCGGCCAUCUUAUUUAUUGAUUCUUUCUCUGUGUAUACCGCCCUGAGCCCUUUUUGGAAGAGCGGUAUAGAAAUCGAGUAAAUAAUAAUUCAUAAUAAAAAUGAUAAUGAUGGGGGCGGAGCCCAGGAGUUGGCGGAGAGAGGCGAGGGCCUGACGUCACCGGCUCCGCGCCAUCGGGGAGGAAGGAGCCAAUGGCCGCCAAGGUCACGCCCCUUCCCCCCGUCGCCGGGUGACGUCAGAAGCCAGCGCCCAGGGCCUGUCAGUCUCUAGGGAGAGGCGGGGCGCCUCGUGUCGGUCGGAGCUUCCGCUUCUGCCACCUCCUCGGUGCCCGCCGGGAUGGCGCUGCGGCUGCCGCUGGAGAAGGCGGCCUGGCGCCGGGUCGAGACGGUGCCCGCCUCCCGCGUCGCCCUCCGGCCUUGCCCCCGCGGAGCCCGCAGGCGGAUGUGGCCUUGUGAGGAGGAAUCUCACUGUGAACCACACGUUUCAAGGAAGGGCUUUUUGAACCAGGAUGCAGCCUGCAGCUACGCUUAGGAACAUGGCAGCUGGCAAAAGUGGUGCUGCAACCCCUUCUGUGCUGCUGACACACAAGAGAAAAACCUUCUUUCCAUCCUGGGCCUUUUGCCCAAGAAAUCUCAAGUACCUAGAACUUAUGUGCAAAGCAUUUCUAAAUGGAAGAAGUGAAAACUCCACCAGCUCUUUACUCACUAAAUACUUUUUGUUGCCUCUGUGUAUCUCUUGUUGGACUCCCCUUGAAGCUAAAGAUGUGAAAUGCCAUUUGUACCCUGGGUCUCUCACCAAACAACUCUCAAGCCUGCAAAGUUUCUUGGCAAAGCAAAGCGUCUCUAGUUGGAAGAAGUGACAGCCCCAGAAGUCACCAAUCCUGAUGUUUCACUUUGGGAAACUUGAGUGAAAUGUUAGUUGGCCUUAUUGUCUAAUCUUACUCUUGAUUACUUCUUUUUAGGCAAAUAAGAUAAUAAUUUGCCUUGGUACUGAACUUUUAUCUUGAAUGGCACAAGGAGGGCGAGUAGGAGAUUGGGGCUGAAUAUGAAAAGAAUUUCUAAUUUCAACCCAUUGCUCUAAUUGUUAUUGCUCUCCGGAUAAAGGACACUGCUAAAGGAAGAGUUUAAUAAGGAUAUAAAGGAGUCUAGUAAGGAUUAAAGAACUAAUUCCUAUGCUUUGGCACAUUAUACUCCCCCACCCCACUUUAUAAGCAUGUAAUAUGCUUAGUAAGAUACCUGGAUGGGAGCGGGAGAGGGGGGGAGAGCCCUGAACGUAAACAUUUAGUAGCUCUUUCAUGCUUUCUUCACAUUUGUAACUGGAUUCACUUACUCCCUAGUUCUGGGAGAGAGGGAACAUUGGUUUUGGUUCUCCUCACUCUUUUGUAGAAUUCUGUUUAACAUUGUCUUAGUUGGUUUAACCUGGUUACUUUUCUCUCUCACCUUUUUGGUGGUGAUUUGGAGGAUGGGGAGGGAAGGAUAGUUCCUGGGUUUAGUUAUGAAUGUAUUUCAAUGCUAACAGUUUCUGCCAAAGAUGAUGUAUUUCGACUCAAGGCCUAUGAUAUAACAUUAGUCCAAUUGGUUAUAGCACUUGCAGUUGUUGACAUGGGUAAUCUGUCCUUUAAAGAUGGGUGAUUUAAAUAUUUUUUCAGUUAAUUGUAAUGGCUUAGUUUCUUAUCAAACAUUCUAAGGUGUUUAAAACAAAGGACAGAUAUAAUUUUUCUUCAAGAAACACGUACUAAAAGAGGAACAACAACAUUGUUUAGUUUAAUUAUCCUCAUCAGGGAUAGCAGCUGGAAGCUCGAAGUCCAAAGGAACUGCCACAUUGUUUUCCCCAAAUUGCUGAUUUACACCCUUGAAAGACUAUAAAGAUUCUUUUGGUCCGUUUGUAUAUAUUGAGGGCACAUUUUUGGAUAAACCCUUGUUACUGUGUUCCAUAUAUGCCCCAAAUACUCUGUCACUGAAAAUCUCUUUUAAAAACUUCAAAGUAUUAAGAUUCAAGAUUGGAUAAAUGGGUGUGGUUUUAACGUAACCAUAAACCCUGCUUUGGAUAGGUCAGCCUCCAAGUAUACUCCCAAUAUUUCUACUUCUAAGUUCCCUAUAGCAUAUCUCUCUAAGGAAGCUAAUUUGGUAGUUCCUUGGCAGUUGUUACACCCAGGGGAAGGGGAUUACACAUUCUUGUCUGCCAGACAUGAAACUUGUUCUAGGAUUGAUUAUGUUCUCAUCUCCAGUUCCCUACAGAAUGAUAUUCAAGAUGCUAUUAGUGAUAACAUUUGGACAGAUCUCAAUUGGAUAAUAUGCUCAUUAAGUUUUGAAAGUUCUAAUAACCCAAUUUCUUGGUUGAAAACUUAUUUAUUAUACAAUAAAGAUAUAUGCAAAACAUUGGAA